UGUGGUCAUACUUAGUUAAAUGAGAACAUAAAGCAAGCAUGUGGCUCAGGACACAUGACAACCAAUCAGCAAGAAUACUCAAUGAACAUACAUAAUCAAAUCCAAAUGGCCCUCUCCUAUGAACAAAACACAAAUAGCAACAAAUAAGCUGUUAAAGCCCAAAAAAAAGUGAGCAAAUAGUAAGUUUUAUUUUUAAUCCAUUGGACUGUAAACUAUUAUGAUGCGUCAUACAACAAACUACCAUCUUGUUCUUCUAUACAACAAAUGAUAAUGAAUUGUGACCACUUGCAUAAAAAUGUUCUUGAAUUUCUCAUGCUCAUGGUGCUUAUAUUGUUACAAACUCAAUCAUACUGUUGAUUGCUCGUGAAUAUCUUUUUCCUUUUGUACUAGCUUCUAAUGUGUACUGAAUUGUUUAUCAUGUCCGUCAGUAGUCAAUACCCAGUAUUUCUUGUCUAAUUCCUUGAAUAUAUUUUAUAAAUAUAUUGCUACAUUUUAGACUUCAUUAUUCAUGUUCCCUUGGGUUUGAUGUAUAGCCUUACCAACCUGGUUAUACUG
rnacentral:misc_RNA from 1 species